AUAGCCUCGGUGAUCUAGGUUUAGAAAGCUGUGAAAUUGGAUAUUGAGAUGCUCUCCGGAGUAGUUUCAGACUAGACUGUGGGAAUCGUCUAAUCCGAUCACCGGGAAGGGCUGGCGGGGGGCCCUCCCAUGUCGGGGGUGCAGUCAGGAGUCAGGAGUCAGUCGGCGCGGCGAUGAUCAGAUUGUCACAGUCCCGCUGGUUCCCUCGGAGACGCCACCUGAGAAGGCGCCUGUGCCAACAUCUUCAUCAACACCCGCGGCAACAGCAGCUGGACCGGGUCGCGUGGCCAAGUGGGUCAGACCUCACUGAGGGUGGAGAGGGCGUCAUCCACAGUGGUGCAUCAUGGGACAGCCCGAGGGCAUAUUAGAGUUUUUUUUGGCAAAUCCCUUGGUGAACUUCUGAAGUUUUUUUUUUCUUGGUAGGCUUUAUCUAGUUGUGACUGUAAGUUCACGGGCAGAGAGCUCAGGUCAGCUGGUACUGCUCAUCGCAGGCCGCGUUUAAAAGCCGUUGCCGGUGGUCCACGUGCACAAAACCAUUUGGCUUUUCUUAAAAGAAAAAAACGGUGCUUUUUAAAAUCUUGCACAAAAUGUUUUAGUGCUUCAAAUACUACUGAUGUUGUCAAAUAAAUGUAGUGGUGUAAAAGGACAAUAUUUGACUCUAAAACAAAGUGGAGAAUAAAACCGAAAGUUGCACGAAACCAUAUCAAACUCUCUAUCAAACCCCUGAUAAUUGAAAUUCAGCACACUACUUGAGUAAUGACUUAUUUCCCUCCAUUGUGUGCAGGUGGCAGCUAUUAAAUAAUCUCCCAAGUUGCCCAGCUGAUCUGAUCUGACGGAUGAGUUUUGCUGGUUACUGUUACCUGGUUCAGUCAUUAGGACCACUACAUUCGGGGGGGAAAACUGGAGUGGAAGUGGCAUUAAACUGCUAACUGGAGGCAGUGGAGUGUUGUAGGUGGAGGAACACGUGGAGGGUCACAGCGUUCACCGCGGAGAGGAUGGUGGUAAACAAAGGAGCUAAAAGGAGGACACUUCAAACCACGAGGGUGUGAUUGAAGCCUUUUCAUUAGGUUUGAUGAGAGGAAAAAGAUCAUUCCCUUUACCUCAGGUUUCAGAGGGGAUCUUAUAAGCCUAUUUUUAUGCUAAAACACGUGGUCAUCUUGCGCCAAAGUACCAUUUCUUCCGCUGAUGUAUUCAGCACUAAACAUGUAAGGAACCAAAUGAAUCCCUCAUAAGCCACCGGCGAAGCCAAUGCAGC
ensembl:lncRNA